rnacentral:lncRNA from 1 species
UGCAGUCCUGUGACCAGCCAGGCGCUUUUCCAAUCAGAGUCUGUUAAGAUCUUUGACAACAGUACCUGUAGUUGUUUGAAGAGGAGGUUUCAGUAGUGACCUGUACCCUUGGUAAUAACAGGCUUUAUAGGUAACAAAAUGUGUUCUCUGCCUACUGAAUAACAAAACACCAAUCAUGAGAUAACGCUUAGUAAAGCUGACUCAUUUCCUCCUUUACAGAUGAAAGGAGUUGUCCAAGAAAUGACUAUCUCAGAGGGAAAUUUUCCUUCAGGUCAUUACGUGAGUCUCUUUAAAGCAUGGCGGACUGUAGCAUUAGGUUUUCAGUUAUUAGGUAUAUUAAAAAGUAAAUUUUAUUAUGAAAUAAUAUCAUACAUUUAAAGCCCGGUCCGGUUUUAUCUUGAAAUAUGUGAUAACUCCUGGUUUCAGAUGCGAUUCAGAAGAAAUAGGUUGACUUGUAUCAUCAGGUGUCCAGAAGAUUAAAAUUUCUGUUUUAUUAAAAUGUGGAAUUCACGUUUGUUUUCAGCCAAGCAAGGUUUGGUGAUUCUGCAGCUGUCACCCUCAGCAUCUCUGUAGGACAGCCUCUUGCCCCUCUUCACCCAGGUCUGCAGGAGGGUGGCAGCGUGGCUUGGGAAGGCUGGGUGGCGGGAGCUCAGAGGGGGUGCAGUGUUCCCACCACACAGCGGCGGCUCAACUGCCCAGGCUGUGGGGUUUCCAGCUGUGUCGUGUUGACUUGAACCGACUCAGCAGGCGGUGCCCUCCUGGAGCACCUGAAGCCUCCAGAGAAAUAUGAUGGAAAACCAAGAGGCCUCCACCUCCCUGACUUGCUGCGACCUCCUGGGCUUUGCAGCCAGGCUGCUUUCGUGGAUGCAGUCCUCGAAGCUAGUUUGGAAGACAUUUAUUUUUAAAUAUACAGGAAGCCAAAUACGUUGAGAGAAAAGCCGCCUAAUGCAUUCCUCUGUUCAUCUCCAAAGUCAUAGCUGGUUUUCUAGACCCGAUUUUCAUCAGACUUUCCAAAGACAGAAAGAGUCUCCUCUACAUAGGGCUUCCUUCUUUGCCUUCAUCUGUAAUGCGAGCCUUGCCCUAGGUUGCCUCUCUCUCUCCUUGCUCCGCCUGCUUCGGAAUUCUCCUGUCAUUUCAACAGUGGUACCAAGCUUUUUGUUGUUAGGAAAUCACAAAUUCUGAAACACACUCAACUGAGCAGAUUUAAAAAUAACCUAGGCUUCUCUACUAUUUGGUUGUUUGAAUGCAAAGCAAA